rnacentral:lncRNA from 1 species
UUUUUUUUUUUUUUUUUUUGUAAAUGUAAGUACCAUUUCUUCUGCCCAGUGUAGUAGCCCGCAGUCAUAGUUAAGCCCUUCGUAUGUAGGAAGCAGCCAAUGUUCAGUUGUCCAAACGCAGCCAGGGAGUUAAAUCCAAAGCACAGAAGGUCAGCAGCAGGCACAGCACAGGUGAGCAGCUAGAGAUGCAAAUGGUAAUGAAAAAAAUGAAGAUAAAUAGACCCAUCCCCUGCCUAGGCUCUCAGGGAUUCAUGCCUUCCAGAUGAUUUCCAAGCUAGUGGAAUCAAGCAAACCACUGGCGUACAGAUGCUAACUAUUGAGUCUCUGCUCACCCUGUUUUGCUUUUGUCAUUGUCUUUAACAUGACAACACAUUGUGAAGCACUUCACAUUGGUAAGAGAGUGUGUUGUGUAUCACCUGGAUUGCUCCAGUCUUCCAUUGGCGUCUUUCAUCCAUACUAAGCCAGCUUCAGUCUCCUGGUGCAGAAGUGUAAACUUAGCCUGCUUCUGUGUUAUGAAGUGUAUCUAGGAACUGGGGACAGAACUGGUGACCAUAUUAUUCUGGGACAGAAAAGACAAUGGAUUUUUUUAAAGAAGAUGUAUUUAUUUUUAUGUACUUGAUGAUUUGCCUGCAUGCAUAUUUGUGUGAGGGUGCCAGAUCUCCUGGAACAGGCUUUAGAGACAGUUGUGAGCGUCAUGUGGUGUUUGGACUUGAACCUCAGGUCCUCUGGAAGUGCUAGUGCUCUUAAUGGCUGAGAUUUCUCUCCAGCCCAAGACAAUGAAGUUAAAUAUCUGUGAGGAUUCAAUAAAGAGACAUGCUUCUUUGAGGGUGUAUUUUCAGAACCGGGUUUCUCAGCUGCUGACUGACAUCUGAAUCACUUGUUUGACUAGAGGAGAUUUGUGAUUUUAUUGGGGUGGUGGGGCAGGGUUUAACGGCCCUCCGAGUGCAGUCAUGGUUGCAGGCCCUUACCUGUCAUAUGAGCAAAUGCGCUGAGAAUUUCAGUUCUUCAGCCCCGAGAGGCCUGAUCUAAGGUCCAUUCUCGUGCUAUCUCUGUGUGUGGUUGUUGUGAUCUAGCUGGUGUCCACUGUUCUGGGAUCUCUAGGUAUGGGGUGUCUAGGUAUGUGAAAUUUUGAUUACGGUUUCCUGGUUGUCUGUAGGUGACAUCGCUAGGCUGUGCAUUUCUGUAGCAUGCUCGUGACAAUCCCUUUCGCCUCUGUCCUUUAAUGUCACCUCUGUCCUUUUCUGAUUAUAAGUGGACUCAGCUCCAGGAAAGGGCCUCUCAGAGACUGACACUGCGUUUUGCAGCGCGAAGUGUUUUCAUUUUUCUGAGACUAUCAAGGGGGCCAGAGCUUUCCUUGCGAUCUCCGAAAUUGUGGAGAGGAAAAGUUGAGCUCUGUUUGCUGAUGGGGCGUUGAAAUGGUCUACGGGAAAAGGGAACGGAGACAAGUUCUUGGCAGGGUUUAUCACCUGCCUCUCCCAGCCCCAGCUUCUGGCAAGCACGAUUAGAAAUUGACUCCUCUCCUCCAAGAUUGCUAGCUUGCUUGCUGCACGCUGCCUCUCCGUAGUUAAUUCGCCAUCUCUCACACGUGUUAUCCCCAAAUCACAGAACUCAUUAGAAAUCAACAGCAUGAAUUUGGUCAGUCACAUUUGCAGGAUUAGCCAGAUGUAAAUCUGAGUUGCAGUUGGGAGGUUUCCUGUGUGUCAUUUAAAAAUAAAUAGACCUCUAGCUUUGAGUAGAAACAGAUUAAAAAAGG